UGGAGCCUGAGGAGCUGCUUGAGACCAUGAAUUCAUGAACCACGGGCAAUGCCAUUAACUAUCAGGGGCAUGAUGAAGAAAUGCUCUUACCUUCGGAGUCUUUGGAACGCGAAAGAACACGGAGAGUUAACCGGUGUAGCUUUCGUAAAAGCCUGGCUUGGGAUAAUGCCUUUUUCACCAGUGCAGGUAUAUGUUAAUCGGGUUGAAAAUCGUUAUACAUGUGCUUGUUAUGAACAUUUUCUUGCUGCACAAGUUUGAAACUUCUGAUUGGUUGCUAGUGCUCAGGGGUUUUGGAUCCUGAGGAAUUGUGUAUGGUUAACAGAUGAUUCAAGAAAUCCGAAACGAAUCAGCUUCCAGGGAUUCAAGAAGUCUGGAGGUCUGCUGAGUCAAUGACUACAGUUCAUAGUGGAUGUUCCUCUUUGAUGGCAAGCAUUGAGUUUGAGCUUUUUGAUGACAACAGAUCAUCUGCGCAGAAACCGACUAGUUUACCCAGUGUCACGACUUCAAGUCUCAAGUCGAAAAAGAGGAAGAGGCCUGCAAAAUGUUCGCCCUUCCAAGAAUCCUGACGCUUCUCCUCGGAUGAGGAUGAGAGCCAUGCCAACCUCCCAAAGGCAAAGUCUUAAUGCGCGUGGACCGGAGAAAUGAAAUGAACCUUGCUGCUGUAAGUAGGAAACUGAACUCAUCAGCAUCUCGCAAACCGUCAAAGAUAUCUAGCCGGAUUAAUUAAUCUUAUGCACCUGCAGCGAAAAGGGCUUGUUUGGGUGGAGAUAAUGAAAAAUGGAAACUGCAAAAGCUGCCCCUGGUAAGAAGGAAGAUCAAGUAAAACGCUAACCGGAGCGCACACAGUUUUUCAUUUUAAAAUGCCUUGCUUAGGAGUAUCGUGCAGCAUCACCAAUACUAUUACACCGCCCCCAAAGACAUCUCCAUUUUGUUCUCCCACUGCCACACACGAGUCUCGGGUUUAUAGUUCUUCCUUAUUCAGUAAUCUCCAUUGUACUCGAGGAGCAAAAAUGAUUCCUCACUUGUCAGUUUGGCCUCCCGUGGUUUUACCAUGGGAACUCCUUCGAAAUCCACAAUGAAAAACAAAGGUGAACUGGAAACUUCUUGUCACCCAUCCACUCUAGUGCGCACGCCGCAGUCUUCCCCUUAUCCAUCACCUGCUAGUUCCCUUGUUGGCUGGUCCUCAGCAUCCUCAUCAGCGUCUGCGAAUCAAAGAUUGAAGAAGUCUGAGGUCGGUCUGAAUACUUUCAUCAGCGGACAGGCUUUUUUUGAGAGUGAUGUCUCUCGGGAAUCAAUUCUGGAGAGUCAUUCACAUGAUCAACCAUGCAUUGGACAUGGAAAUCAAGAAGCAAUGCUCUUGAAUCCACGCGAGGGAAAUAUGUCAAUGGGAGGUAGCCCUAUGGAUCCUAACAGUGUUUCUAAACAUAUCAGGCCCUCAUGUCUCCGAGCGCCAUCUCCAAAGAUUGGCUUUUUCGACAAGGAGAUUUCUUUGGUGAGAUCAAGCGUGCAUUCUCCUGCAGGAAGUCACAAGGAUUAAUGUUGGUGCCAUUGAUCUUGGAAUUGGAUUAAUGUUGUGCAGUGAAAGAGGAGAUCGAAGGCAAACAAGAGUGCAUGUCAUUGCCUAAUAAUCGACGAUCACCAAAGGGAAAUGAUAAACACGCAUUAUUUUUAGCUUCUUAUGCAACUCUAUUUAAUAAUAUCAGUUGUUUUUGGACGAUUUAUCAAAUUCGAUUGCCAAAAAAUAAAGAGUGAUGUGUAAGAAGGUAAAAGAGUGUGAAAAUCACUUCUCUUCACUAAUAAUUAAGUAUUUGGAACUAUUAGGUAUUACAAAUUCUUCAUGAGAUAUGUAACAAAAAGUGAGCGCUAUUGUUAGCACUUUAAAAAAGUUUUGUUAUUGAAAAGUUAUUUUAUGAGCCUCAAAGCACAAUUUUGAUUUUUUUUCUUCUUAAGAGUGUAUGACGACAUUUUUAAAAUGUCAAUAACAAGUCACUAUUUGUUA